AAAUGUAGUUGUCUUUUAAUGAGUUUUAACUGCUACUUUUAUUUUGCCUCUAGCUGCCUUGAACAUUCUAGGAGUAGAAAGAUAUGCCUGAACCACAAGUUCCAGUCAGGAAGAAUAAUGGAGAAGGACAUUAAAAACCAUAGUUCAGCAAUAUCUGAAGUGGCACAGAUACCCCAUCGCUGGUGUAUACUAACCAACAGUGGAUGUUUCAGGAGGACUAUAUUAUCAUCUUACUCUACUUCCAUUCAACGUCUUGUUGGCUCCUGUACUUACAAGAGCUGAUCUGCAUCAAAUUUGGAGUUGAAAGCAGAUCAAAAUUCAAGUCAAAGUAUUUUU